CGGGCAUGAGCAGAAUAAGCAGGGAAUAUCUUUGUCAUCUUGGAUCUUGUUCCAGAAAUCAUAGGAAGGUCCACAGAAAACAUCCUGGGGUCCUGAGCUGAAGUGUGAUGGGAGGAGUCCUCUGUAUCUCAGUCUGAUCCUGGUCUCCCUCUCGGCCAUGGUCUCACACUAGUGCUGCUGGGAAACCAUCCCUCACAUCCAGUCCUGGCAUCGGGCAGUGACUCUGGUCCAACUGUUGUCCAACUCAAGGGUUUAGCUGCUUAGAUUUUCCUAAAACUUGAAUUUCAUUUUCCUCUAGCCAUGGAAUACAGAUUAAUCCUUUACAAUUAAAAUCCAAGUUCAGAUUUUAUUUGUUGUGGUUUUUAAUUAAAAUCUCACCAGCACUUUGUGGAUUUUUUUUUUCUUAGAAAGGCAAACACACUGUGCG
rnacentral:lncRNA from 1 species